GAUGGACGCUGGCGGCGUGCCUAAUACAUGCAAGUCGAGCGAACAGACGAGGAGCUUGCUCCUCUGACGUUAGCGGCGGACGGGUGAGUAACACGUGGAUAACCUACCUAUAAGACUGGGAUAACUUCGGGAAACCGGAGCUAAUACCGGAUAAUAUAUUGAACCGCAUGGUUCAAUAGUGAAAGACGGUUUUGCUGUCACUUAUAGAUGGAUCCGCGCCGCAUUAACUAGUUGGUAAGGUAACGGCUUACCAAGGCAACGAUGCGUAGCCGACCUGAGAGGGUGAUCGGCCACACUGGAACUGAGACACGGUCCAGACUCCUACGGGAGGCAGCAGUAGGGAAUCUUCCGCAAUGGGCGAAAGCCUGACGGAGCAACGCCGCGUGAGUGAUGAAGGUCUUCGGAUCGUAAAACUCUGUUAUUAGGGAAGAACAAAUGUGUAAGUAACUAUGCACGUCUUGACGGUACCUAAUCAGAAAGCCACGGCUAACUACGUG
rnacentral:rRNA from 1 species